UUAAAAAGUACGUACUUAAAUUGCGUCAAACCAAGUACCCUUGUAAAGAGAAUUAAAAGACCUUUCCAAUGAGGUAUCACUCGACCCCCCUUCCCAUUUAAGAUUUUAGGGGUAGUGCCACCCCCGCUUAGGGGGUUGUAGGUGGGAAAGUGAUUUUGUGAUUAUUAAGUGUCCCCCUUGAAAAUAAAAUCGACGGGUCCGAGCGUUUUUUUUAAAAGUUAACGGACUGCCCAUAACUGGCUCUGUUUCGUUUUCGAUGCGCCACCCGGUAUAUUUAACGAUGUAUUUUUGUUUCAUUUAGAUCUGGCCAUUCGAAAUAUAAAAAGCCAAUCCUGAAUUGUGUAGACUGGGAGAAAUUUUUUAGCUUUUUCUGUAGAGCUAUGCAUCAAAUCGGCCUCCAUAUAUGAGUGCCCACCCUCUAAAAAUUUGUGCUCUAUUACCUUAAGAUGGGUAACUUGCACUGUAUAAAGUAAAAGGGCAGCAAUGUGUUUAUUACGAUUUUGGCCCGGGCAAGUAUCAGACCAUAAAAAAUAUCUUAUAUGCUCAGGCAAGUUUUGUAGGUAACGAAAAAGAGUUGUUCCUAUUUCGGAACUUCCUCGUUUUCCAUUCAAUUCCGUCCAGCGAAAACAAUAGGCGUCAUUAGGCGGGGCACUCUCAUAUACAGUGAGGACGCGGAAGUUGGAACAAAUUCAUUUAAAAUUCAGGGAGGUAUUUUUGUCUUUUAAAUUCGUCCAUUUUCCAGAAGUUUGAACAUAACAUCCGCCUAUCAUCUUCGGAAAAUAUUUGGUCGCACUUAAAGCGACACUUCUCACAGCUGACAGUUUUAGGUAGUGUCCGGUGGAAAUUUUCUCUUAAUCUUGUAAGUUAACCCAUGACUUCUACUUUCUUUUGCCACAUUUUUUCCCACGACUUUGGAUCGCUUUGGAUCCAUCUGGUUGACCAAAGGAUAAUUAUAAAAUAUUUUAACACCAUUUGAGCUCUAUAAUAUUAAUAUGAAUCUACCUUUCAAAUUUUGUGGAGAAUAAGUGGAAUCUUUCAAAAAAUCAUCGCUACCUGAAUCAAUACACUCGCCUUCCAAAUGCCCAAAUUGUUUAUUUUCAGCGUUUACUUCACCAGAUAUAUUGAUGCUUUGUAAGGCAUCAUUUUGUUUAGAAAGGUCACAUUAUGCAGACUUGUAAGGGCUUGCCUAUUUUUCUUUUCACGGUCAUCAUAGUCUUUGGUAUUCGUUAAAACAAAAAUUAAAUAUAUUAUUUGAACUCUCUCACCGGUAAUUAACUUACCUUGGUUCUAAAUUAUGGAAUGUUUUGAUUGGGCAAAUUUCCUAUGAAUCAUUCACUUUUUCGAUAAAUCUCUCUUUACCCCUUAGUUCCUUAUAUACUAAUAACACAAUUUUUUAGCUCUCGAAGACAUUUUAAUUCAUUUAUUCUAAGCAGUCAGUCACUAACUGUCUAGUCAUAGUUUAUUCGAAAGGACGAAUUUUCAUUAACUUUCUUAACAUUGCACUUAGUGGAUUUUACUUGUUUCAUAUUAAGAUGGAUGGGACUUAGGUAAAACAGACCCCGUUCUCACAGCCUAACUACUAGACAUAUGGACUUAGUGGACUUUUCAUGAAAAAGAUUUUAUAAAACCAAAUAAGGAAGUGCAUUAAGUCCAAUGUUGGCAAAAAGUGGACCUAGUGGAUUUUCGCCGUAAGUCCACGAUAUAAUUAAGUUUUGACGUAGAUGUUUAUUGCUUGCCAAGAAAAAUCGGAAGUGAGAGGAGGAAAGAAGAAUUGACAAAGUUUUUUCAAAUUUUCUUGCAGUGUAUUCCUUUGUUAUCUUGUUCAUUAUGAUCAUUUUUCAAAGACUUAUUAGGCGUAAUUCGCACAGAACGGGCAUUUAGCGAUGGCGUGGUAGGCGCAUGUGCCACUUGCAUGUUCGCUUAUGGGGCAAUACAGAUAGAAAUGGCGUUGCACAGGCAUGAUAAGUCACGCCACCGCCACGUCACUUCGACGCCACGAGUGGCCUACAAACAGCGGUCUAUAUUGCUUCUUUUCGUCUAUUUGGUAAAAUGCGGGACGAUGUUUUAUUUAAUAUCGACUUCUGUAGAGAAGUGCAACAGUAUGCAGUUCUAUACGACUAUAGAAGGUCAGAUUACUGCAAUAGAAGUGCACAAGGACAAGCAUGGGAAAAUAUCAAAUAAAUUCAGUGAAAAUGUAACCGAGUAUAAAGACCGCUGAAAAAACAUACAAGCAAGCUACUCAAAAUAUAAAGCCAAAUUAAAAACAAAAUCAGGACAGGGAACAAAACGAGUUAAAGAAUAUUAUUUGGCCCCACAUCUCUCUUUUUUGGGUCCUUUCUUGAAGUCUCGCAAGAGCAAAGGCAACGUGAUCAAGAAUCUGCCAACGCAUCACGCAGCAGAUACCGGGUCCCACAAUCUAAUGAGUCUGAAGACAACUCCAAUGCUGAUGUACUCUCACCUGAUAACAUUCUAUUCAGUCGUUUCUCUCGGUCACCUGUACCAUCUUUUAGUACGUCUAUCGAUGAUCAACCGUUAGCAAAGAGAGCACCUAAAACACUAUUACAGAAAGGAGAUGAUUUUAGAAAAAAAAAAGUUAGCAGCCUGAACCUCUAUUAAUGAGGUCAACGAGCAAGCUUACCAGUACUUUGAAAAAAAGCAACAAUUGCUGGAGAUCCAAAACAGCACGAAACGAAUGCCACAAUCGAUCUUCCUGACCCGGACCCGGCGUUUUUUCAAAGUGUUCUUCCUGGCAUGAAGUCCAUGAAUUCUGUUCAGAAGAGGCGUUUCAAACUUGGAAUUUCGAAUUUAGCCGAGCAAAUACUUAUCUCAACCAUUCCUGAAGCCUCUACUACCCCAAUGGAUAGUUCUAAAUCUUGGAUUGAAGAUUCGGUAAAUAGAAAUCUAAAUUCAGUACCGCACAGGAACCCGGACAAGUUUCACUUGAGUGAAUUUAAAUACUACAAUAAUUAAUAUUAGGGGAACAUUAUCGUUAUUUUUUUGUUUUAGAUUAAACAGAAAUAAAUUCACUUAAAUGUAUUUUCUUCAACUUACCUCAGCGUUAUUAAGGUCGAUUCAAACAUAUCAGUCCCGUCACGUCACAGUUACGGCGCCGAACUGAACUAUCCGUCAUAAAAAUAUUCUUAAUAGAAAUAUGCCGGCGGCGUUCACAUCCACCCGUAGCCGAACAGUUUCCAAACUAGACAGGCUUCGACCCGUCUCACGUCCGACCAAUUUUAUAAUCUCUGGUACGAUAUUUUUUGGUUUUGCCGGAAACAUGUCGGGCGGUACAAGUGAACCAAAUAAAAUUAACGACAAACAAUUAAUGGAUUGUGUGAAAAAAUAUAAUGUUUUAUAUGAUUUGUCGCAUGCAAAAUACAUGGACACUAAUUUUAAAAGUAAUAUUUGGAAGGAAAUCGGAAAAGAAAUGAAAACACAAGAUCAACUGUAUAAGACUAGAUGGGGAAAUAUUAGAGACACAUUUAGAAAAUAUUUGAAAAAAACAUUACAAAAAGUGGACAAAGUCGUAAAGAAACAAAGAGAUGCAAAUACGCUGAUCAAUUAGGAUUUUUGAAAAAACAUUUUAAUGAAAGAGAAACGAUAACUAACAUUAAGGAUAUUGAUAACACCCAACAAGAGACUGAAGAAAUAGUGCCUGCAGAUGAAGAAAGUAAUUCUGGUGAUGAGAAAGAACAAAAUGUUUCUGUAAUGGAUGAACGAAAUGAAAUAAUAGAAGAAACCAACAGUCAAAGAGAAGAUUCCCCUGCUUCAACUCAAAGGACUGAAAAACUACCUAUUCAAAAACAAACUACUACAUCAGAAAAGAACAUCAGUAAAAGAAAAGUUACAUAUUCUCAGCCUACUGCUUCAGCAAAACUCAUGGACUAUUUAAUAAACAAACGUAAGGAACAAGUUACGGCACCACCAGAUGCAGUUGAUGCCUUCCUAACUGGCAUAACACCAGCCCUAAAAUCUCUUUCGCCUCUAAAUUUUUAUUUUGCCAAAUCAGAAAUAUUUUCGGUUGUACAGAAAUAUGAACUAAAGUCUCUUCAAGAACCAAUUUAUAAUAAUUGUAAUCAACAACAAUCACAUGCUACAACAGCUCCUCCAAUGGUAUCGCCUGCAUCCAGUUACCAAUAUUCUGAUACAUCAACAAGCAAUACAUCGAUGCAAUCACCUGUUUAUACCCAACUGCAAUCUCCACCGCCAAUACAAACUAUGGAUGAUAAUACAGGCUCUUCUCACUUUCAGGACUUGCAGGACUGUUUCCAGAUUUCAUUAAAAUAUGUAUUUUAUAUUCAAACUAGUAUUAGAUAGUGUUAUAGUGUUUGAGAAUUUUUUUAAUUAUUUCAGUCAGUUUCAAAAAAUACCAUUUGUACGUUUAAAAUUAAAAAAAUAUAUUAUUUUAUAAAUUUAUUUAUUUAUUUCGUACUUACCUUAAACAAACUGCAAGACGCUGCCUCGGUGAAAUAGCUCUUCUCCAGUGUGUAUCCUUUUUUUUUUCAAUUUUUUUGAAAUUUUUGAAAACAAUACGUUAAAGCAAUUUUUCGACAUCCUAAAAUAUUGAUGAAAUUUGACAUCAUCAUAAAGCAGUUCUUUAUACAGUGUCGCGUAUUCUCCUUCAAUAUCUCUUUUUUUCCAUGCAUCAUGGAUCCAUUUCCGUUUUUUUGCUUGGCUUGCUUCCGCUUCUUCCUCUUCGUCCAAACAUAUAGCAAUUAUUGCUAAUUCUUCAUCGGUGAAACUUGCCAUCUUUGCAACAGAUUGGUCACCGACACCGAAUACAUUCCGUGUGUGUCAAAACGAAUCAGUCAAAAAAGUCAAAUCGGUUCGGCGCCGGAACUGUGGCGUGACUGAUGUGUUUGAAUCGACCUUUAACAACCUCUCCUCUGGACUGGCAGGUUCUCGCCAAUUUGUAGAUUUGUUUUCAAUAUUAACCUCACUAAAGCUAGUAUUUUAUAAAAACAUUGAACAGACAUUCGAUAGAAACUUUGAAAACGUUCAGGGUACAUAUUGAGCUCCCGCAUAACAUUAAACGAACCCCCAGUUUUUCCUUUAUCUAACCACAAGGGAUGUAUGCAGUAUCUCCUUUGUUAGCUAAAUUUACUAGGUUCAACAUAUCUUGUUCAUCUUCGUCGUACGAAAGCAUUUUAACUUUAGGUUUGUUCCAAGCGACCAGAUAUGCACCAUUCAUUGAAUCAUCCUGAAAUCACCUGGAUCAGUUUUAUACACAUGCGGUAAGUUUGUACGGUUUCGUGUUGAUACGAGAAAUGAACGGGCUUGGAACGCAUUUGUAAAGUUACUAUAACCUCAGCCUAGCUUUGCCGGUCUGUUUGUUAUCUCCCCUGGAUUGUUUUGUUGACAGUGGGAAAUACCUUGAUUUUAUCUUAACAUUUAAUUUAAUUAACUUAAAACUCACACACAGUAAAACUUAAAAGUAAUGGAUUAAUAUUUUACAAAGUCAAAACAAAUGUUUUUAUAAAUAACCUUUUUUAAACGGAACAGCUGGUCGAUCGAUAACUCUCAAGCAUUUACUGCGCGAGUCAGUCCUACAAGUUACAAACGGUUCCUACUCUCCGAGAUGUAUCGAAAUGUCCGUUCAGAAACCAAUCUGGGAGCGUUUAGAAAUUGGUUUCUGAACGGUCCCAGAUUCGCUUGGAUCGCAUUCAGGAUUCGUGACAGUACUACACAGUCAUGUACGUAACAAUUAAGUGACAAUAAUCACAUUGAAUCCCUUUUUUAUGGGAAUUGUGCACGCCACGUCCGCUCCAUCCCAGCUCCAUGCUAGUCCGACGCCACCGCCAUAUACCCGUUUUGUGUGGAUUGCGCCUUAUAUUGGAUAUUGUCUAACUGACUUUAAGAACUUUACUGCACUUUAACCAUUUUUUUAAAUGUAACUGUAGCAGUAAUAAUUUUUUAUAGUAAUUAACGUUUUAUUACGAUUAAAAUAAACGCAUUAACUCAUCACUUCUAGUGACUACAAUAUAUAAAAUUCGUUGAUGU
rnacentral:lncRNA from 1 species